rnacentral:miRNA from 14 species
GCUGUGGAUCAGGCUUUGGCUUAAGGGGAUGCUGUGGCUGGUUGCUAUCCAGACCACUAAAACUUUCUCCAUAUCAGC